CCCGCUGAGUUUAAGCAUAUCAAUAAGCGGAGGAAAGGGC
rnacentral:rRNA from 1 species